UCCCCUCUUCCUUUCUCUUUCGAAGUUGCAGCCUCUCUCUCAAAGAUGGAAUCCGGAUUCCGCCGCCAGAAGAGGACCUUUACGGUUCCGCCCGAAGGUAGCACUGUCAAGGCUGUCGGAAUCUCUUCGGAAAUAACACCCGCUGAUACCGACCACACGUCCAAAAUCUCCAAAUCUUUGACAUCAAAAAGUAUUUUGAAGACAACUAGGACAUUGUGGAUCACUUUGAGAAGGUGUAGCUUGUGAGAAUGGGUACGGAUGGACUAUUGUGAAAUCUCUUGCAGCAGGUGCUGAAAUUCUUGUUGGCACAUGGAUCCUUGUACAUAUACGUACAUGAUUUUUUCAUCUUUGCAUAUCUUUUCAUGCACCUUGAAUGUCAAAUAUCACCAUAUUUUUUGUUGGGUCUUCAGCAAUAUUGGCAUUGGGAUGCAAAAUGGAGCACUUGAGGAUGGUGAUACCCUAACCAUUGUCAAGACAUUUGUUACCGCUGUUACAAUCCCGGAGACCGUACUUAUUCUCCCAUGUAAUUCCGGAGUGAAAUGCUCGAUGAGUACUCGACAUAGAAAACAUCAAGUGGACUUACAACGUUGUACAAUUUUUUUUAAAAUGUUUGUUCUUUUGGGAAUUAUAUUACUUUAGUUGCUGAUAUAAUUCUUAUACAUCAUUGGAAACACAUUGCAGUUGGUUGACCGCCUCUGAUUGCUUCAUCUGUUAUUUUGCACUCGAUGAGCUUGGUCGUUCAUAAUUGCAUCUGUUAGUCGACCUUAGGAUUGUACUGCAGUUUGAUACCAUAUUUAUUU